CAGGACAAAGUUUAGUAGGAAACAUUUCAGUUACAUUGAAAAUACAUCCGUGCGAUUCGGGUUGUCUUGA
rnacentral:tRNA from 1 species